UACGUAGGGUGCGAGCGUUAAUCGGAAUUACUGGGCGUAAAGCGUGCGCAGGCGGUUUUGUAAGCCAGAUGUGAAAUCCCCGGGCUUAACCUGGGAAUGGCAUUUGGGACUGCAAGGCUUGAGUGCGGCAGAGGAGACUAGAAUUCCUGGUGUAGCAGUGAAAUGCGUUGAUAUCGUUUGGAACACCAAUAGCGUAGGCAGGCUUCUGGGUGCCACCUGACACUGCUAGGACGAAAGCGUGGGGAGCGAAUGGG
rnacentral:rRNA from 1 species